CCCCUCUGAAUGUCGGCGGCUCCAAAAGGGUGACGUGGAGAUGUUGCCGCUCCCGCCCAGGGCUGCUUUGCAGUCGGGGAGAGAUCCUGGCUGAAGAGAUUUAAGGACGGCGGACCGCAUCGGCGCGAAUUGAGCUCUGGGCCCAAAUAUGAAGUGGCAUCCGGUGUGAGGCUCGACUGGGCGGUGCUCGAGCGCUGCUGGGGGAAGCCCAGGCCUCCAAGCCUCAGGGGCGCGCGACCGACCGCGCUGCGCUUCCAGGCGGGGCUGCGGGCUUCGCUCCUGGCCGCUCUGGGCCUGAAAGGCUGCACCGCCACCUGCGUGAGGCCACCGGACAGGACUGUGAGGAUCACAGUCGGUGAAGCAGAGUGCUUUGUAAACCUCAGAGUGCGGUACUCGUGGUGCUGGAGCCGAGAAACCAGCAGCAGCUGCUGAGAGCCGACUGUGAAGAAAUGGGAGGAACUCCGUGUUGGGAGCGAGAGGCUUCGAAAGAACUGGCCACGCAGUCAAGUGUGUGUGGCGGGGCAAGUUUCCCGGAGAAAGCGAGCAGUUUAUGUUGGAGCUUGAAGUCAGGAUAACCAGUUUUGCCUUUUUUCUGUGAACCAGCUCCAAAACAAUGCUUUACUUCAGCCCGGUCUUUUUGCAGGAAGACCAUCUGCUUAGCUUAGUUCUACAAACUUUUUCAUUUUUAAUGUGCAAAGAACAGGCGGGGAGAGCCAAAAUAAAUCUUACAACGCAAAUUUAAAA
rnacentral:lncRNA from 10 species